rnacentral:lncRNA from 1 species
UCUGCCUCCCGAGUGCUGGGAGUAAAGGCGUGCGCCACCAAGCCUGGCCUAUAGCAUCUUUAUUUAGUUUCUGUAAAAGGGCAUGGAUCCAUUGUAAAGGGUUAUGAGGUCAGUAGGUUGCCCAUGGCCACUGAGGUGCAGCUUCGCCACUGGCUGAGCUAUUGAUUGAUUCUGAAGCACCUCCCAGCCCAGUAGUUGGCAGGACACUUUGCACACUGUUUUUAAUAAGCUUUCCUCCCCCAGGAACGUUUGGAUGAAGCAAAUGCUGCACUGGAUUCAGCAUCAAGACUUACAGAACAGUUAGAUUUAAAAGAAGAGCAAAUUGAAGAACUUAAAAAGCAAAGUAGGUCUUUUUUCUUUGUUCUCUCUUACCGUGCUUCUGUUGACUCUGGUGUGCUCUUCUGCUCUACCUUGGCACAGCUGAGUGAGGCAAGGUUGUUGGACUUCAAUUGCUUCAAUUUGCAUCUGAAUCUAAUGGAAUGAGAGUCAUUCGGAGAGCCUGGCUGUCCAGUCAGCUCUCCUGGAUAGUGAGCUGUGACUUUGUGUUGCCUGUCACCUAUUGAUCAAGGGGGCUGAUUUGACUGAUCCAGUUUUUAUGGUUUUGUCUUCUUGAUGAUAGUUCAUGGUACAGCUGAUAUCCAACAGGCUAGAGAGGGCACAUUCUCAGGUGAGGUACUGGGUAACUCUGUGAAGUUACACUCAGUGGCUAAGUUGUGCAUGGCCUUAUCCCCAGGCACUCAGUACACUUGGGUUUGGUGCUUGUAAAGUUUCCCAGUUCUGUCCGUUCUUUAAAGCUGAUGCCUCUACUCAUUAUCAACUGAACCUCAAUGAUAGGGUGGGUCUAAUGGCAUCAUUAAAUCUAAUUCUUGUUUAGGUAUAGCCAGGGGCUUGAAGCUUUUCUGGGGCUGUGUAAUUAGUAAUGAUUUAGAGAGAUUGGGUAGGUGGUAAGAACCUAGGAAUGCAUUGGCUGAGAUGUCUCUGUUGCCAUAGCAGUAACACCUCUGUUAAGAAAUUAAGAAAUAUAUACCAUGUAUCACAAAAUGGAGAUCAGAAAACACAAAAUAGAAGUAGCUGGAACAACAGAGAUGCUGUUAAAACAGGGACAGUGAUGUGGACACUCAGAAAGUAAGCCCACAAGAACCACUGGCCCACAGGUACAACCUAAAUAAUUCAGCCUAGAUCCCCCAGGAGACCCCAAGUGAACACAACAAAAUAGUAAUAAAUGCAAGGGAGUUGGCAUCACUGGGAUAACUUCACUCUGAGACAUUGUUCUGAGUUUUGAUAUUAUAUGAGUUGAUUAGCAUGGGAACUCUGAGUCUCACGUAGCCCUAGAACUAGGCAGCAGGGGACCAAUGGAGUGUGCAUCUGUUGUGAACAGGCGCCCUAACAAAGGCUUAGUGCUUAGUCUUUUCCUUACUUGCUAUUAGUGGAGACCAUCAGUCCCCUCUAGGUCAUAGACACUGAGAUGGCCUUGCAGGUCUCUGUACUGGCACCAAAGCUUCUAUCUUUCCGCACCACUAAUUCUAUCAAGGGAAUGGGUGUUUGUAAAGUGCCUGACUUGUCCUCUGCUCUCCGUGGUUCCUGUGGAGAUAUAGUGGUGUCCUUCUUACUGUGCCCUCACUAUUGAAAUGACUUCUUUAAGGAGAGGAAGCAUAUUUGUGAAUAUAAUCUAGCUAGCUAGAAGGCCAGUGCAACUGCAGUGUCAGUUGGAAGCUGUGGUGAGACAAAGGAACCUGAGCACCCAGAGGACUGGCCAAGGCCUUCUUGGGGCUGAGCUGUCAGUGGAGGGGAAACGGUGAGUUCUGCAUCAAAUCACUUGUCUGAGUGUGACAUCUUGGUGCCAGGAGCCCUGGAUAUCAAAGGCCAUGUCCCCUUUAGACAUUUACCUGAAUCACUCACAGUAGACCAUGGUCACAUAAAGAAGAGUCUAUGACUAACUAUUAUAGUGUUUGGUAUUUGGACAAGCACCUAUUUAAACUUCUAGGAGUAGAAAAUUUUCAGUUUUUCUUCAUUGUGUCUGGUAGGGCAGGUGGCCGAGGUUCCUAUUUGUGUAAAAUAUAGUGAAUACUCAUUAUUAGUAAGUGGGAACUUUGGGCUCAUUAGGGGUCAUUACUAGAGAAAGUUGUGCUUACUUCUGCUUGUACAACUGCUAUUUGAAAAAGCCCAGGGAGCCAGUGCGGCCCAGACAGGAAAGGAACACCAUGACCGUUGGUUCUGUUGUGUCUCUAAGUUAUUCCUGCCUUCAAGAGCGUCUAACAGUGUUUUCUUACAUUACCUCAGCGCUUAGUGCCACUUCCAUAUCUCUAAACACAAAUGUAAUUUUUAUUUUCUCAAUGCUGUAUUCUUGAUUUGAUAAUAUAAAUAAAUUCUUGAUUGGCUUACUUAUUUCAAAAAGCAUCCCUGUAUGUUUUUAUAAGUCAUUAAGUACUUUACAUGUUGAUUGAUGUUGUAAUACUGUACUUUAUUUUUAACACAAAAGUUGGCCAGACAGCAAAAGUUUUUGCCAGGAGAAACAAUUUUGAAAAAGACAAAUUGGUUCUUGUUGCAAGAAAAUACACAGAGACUUGAAUUAUAAAGGCAGAGUAUUGUUUUAUUUCUAAGCCUCUGUAGACUAAUGAUUAGUUGAUAUGCUGUUUUAAACAUUUAGACAAUAUUAGGAAGUUUACUCUAAGAAGUGGUGUUUUGUUCAGAAUGGUUGCUUAUAUCAUUAAUACCUAGAUAUGAUUCAGUCCAGCCAAACAUAAGGAAAGAGUGGUUAUAUAUGACCCCAGUACUAAAGCAGCAGAACAUGGAUGACGUCAGUCCCUCUUAGAGUAUGUGAUUGCUAAUGUUACGUACGUGCAACUAUGGUUUUGAGGUAAGGGCAUUUAUGGGCCCUGUAUGAGAAGUAUGAAGACAGAUGCAUGAUGCUCUACUGGUCAGUAAGCACUGGAUAAAGACCAGCUACUCAGCUUCUCAUUGGUUGCUGUGUAGAACGCUAGAUAGGCCCCCCUUUCAAGGAGCUAAGGAAAUGGCAUGUGACAAACAUCGUAAGAUAAUAAUUUAAGACAGUUGUGCACAUCAGUGGCCCUAAGUGGCAUAUUUAGUUCCUCUAGAACACUGUUAAGGGGCAGAGACUUAACAAAAGUAUUAAACCACUAGUAGGAUUUCACUUAGCAAUUGUGAAAACUGUUUAAACCAUAAGAACUAGUUAAGCUAAUGAACCCCCGCUGCCAAGAGAUCCUACGGAAGCUGUAUUUUAAUAGGCAAUGUUGACUGGUACAGGGGUCACUGUUGUGCUUCUGGAGAUGUUCUUUCAGCAUUUCACCUGGAACACUCCUUAUAACAUAGUUCCGAAGACUUCACAUGCUGUCCUGUACUUGUAAAGUCAGUGCACCAUCCAUGAAGAGAGUAGGACAGUGUCUUUUAGUUCAUCAGAGUUGAGAAUUCCUAGAGACUUGGUAUUAAGGAGAAAAUAUCACAUGUUAGUACAGUGGAGUCAUUAAAAAUAUGCUGUCAUGUAUGUAGGUGGGUGCUUUUCUUUUCUCAGUUUUCUUCAUUGCCCUUAAGAUAAAUUCCUGUGCAUUUGAAAAUGUUUAGAUAAAUUGAAAUGGAAGGUAAAAGAUGGUUUUUGAUUUGGUAAUUAAUAUUAAAAAGCAUUGAGUUUUGUGGUAUGCAAAGAAAAGUAUGUUUCAUAAGCAAUAGAAACUUAGUUCUAGUUUAGGAACAUCUUUUGUUCUACCUGCUAGUUUAUGCCUCUAUACAGUGAAAAUAGUUUAUGUCUUCACUGUUUCUAUGCUAUGGGUGGAACCCAAGGUCUUGUCUUGUGCAUGCUAGGAAAGUUAUCUGUGUCCCAAGCCCUAUACUUGUACCUUAAGGCUUUCAUAACUAAUUUUAAAUAAUAGUGGUUACUUUUAAAAAUGUCUCCUAUGAGUUGAAAAUGGAAAACUUUCCUUAGAAUAUUUUGAAAAAGAAAAUCUAUUAAGUGUAUGUAAAUGAGCCCCCAUAAAACUCACUCUAAUAUCUGAAGCAUAAAAACAUGUUUUAAAGCUACAGAGGCAAAAUGAGCUUGAAAUAUUUUACAUGGACCUACCUUUAUAAUGCUGCAUGGUUGAGUUUUUAUUUUAAAUAAAGACAUUCCAUUUUCCAGGACAUGAUUUAUACAAGAAAACAUAUACUGUCCUGUUGAACAUAAGCCAAAUACAUUCCCAGACGCUUUGCUGCCCAGAUCUUUUGAGAGAGUUCUUUUUAGAUGUUUUUGGCAGAAGUGGUGGUUUUAGAGGAAACAUAUAAGAAGUACCAGAUG